AACUGGUUUGCUUUAAUGAACGCAUCCUUAUAUUAUGUGUUAAUCAAAUAUUUUGGUCACAGAUCAUUUUAACACACUGUCUCAACAUGUUUACAUUUCAGGAAUGCCUGUCAUGAGAUUUAUGAAGAAGACCAAAAGCUGCAAAGGCAAACACUUCCAAUGUAGAAACUGAGAGUUUGCAUGAUGGCAUUUUCUCAGACGCUGAAUCUGAUGUGUACAGUUGAACUCAGGAGCCUGCUAGAGUUGCCAGGGAACUUGAGCUUGAACUGAAGACCAGAAACGCAAAGCAAAUCAGUCAAACCAGUCCUAAAGAAAUGAGGAAUGAACAUGGACUUCUUGUGCCCAAAAAGAAAAGACAGAAAGCUCCUAGAAUGAGCAAAUCAGCUGUGCAUCAUCUCUGUGAUUUGGGAAGGAAAUGACAGAAUAUGAUGAAGCCAGUUGAUGAAGAUAUCAAUUCAAUGGCCACCGAGUGCAGCACUGCUACCUGAACCCAUCAGUUAUCUGCUGUGAAGACUGCAUUCACAAACCGCUCUACUGCGACAGCUCAGAUGUUACGGCCCGUAAAAUAAACGUCACAGCUAAACAACGA